UUGGCUCACGUCAUGUGGUAGAGGCUUAGGCAUUCUCAUUGGAGAGGAGCACAGGGAAGCAGUCGAGCUGCACAGUGCUGAAGCCGGUGCACGGGCGCGUGCUCACGCUUGUGGAUGGAGACACCGUGGGUUUCGUACACCUAAUCGAACUUUCUCAAGAUUCCACAAGGCAUGAAAGGUGAAAGAUUAAAAACGGAUGCUUAUUCUCAUGCAGUAGUCCUGCAGUGUUUCUGGGUGAGGUUCGAGAGAUGAUCACGUAAGAGACAAUGGUAAGACCUGAUCUUCAAGUAAGUGUUGAUCCUUUUUCGAACUAUCCACGAUAUUGUAUAACCAGCUGUGCAGCCGGGAACGGCUUGCUGAUGUUGUGGUGAAUUUCAGCCAUUUAUUUAUUUAUUUAUUUAUUUAUUUAUUUAUUUAUUUAUUUUUGCCAUCUCUAAUAAAUAUAAUUGAACUGAUAUUGAAUACAUGCUUGUCUAACGCUAGCUAGGUCAGACGUACGUUUAUAGAUUUUAUUUAUUUAUUUUUUAAUGAAUGAACUCAAAAUAUUCUCCAUUUUUUUUCUUUUGGUAGAAAUCGAGCGUGCCCCGUCGAGAGCAUUUAAGAUGGCGGGACGGGGGCGGGGCUUCAAGGCGAUGCCAGUUAGAGACAAUGCCUGGCGUAUUUUUGGAGUAAUAACUCGUACUGGCGUAUACCGAUGUUAAACCGCACAACAUACGUGCACACACCCCUGCUGAAAAAAUACAAUAGAAACCCUGAUUGAAUUCGUAAUGGUUUUAAUGGUUUUAAUGGGAAUUGUAUUGGUUUUAAUGGAAACUGUAAUUGUCCCUGUGGGUCUGUACUGGUAAUUUGGUGCCUUCUAUGGGUAGCAUGUUAUGUCUAGCGGUACAUGGUACUGGUUUUAAUGUCUAGCUGAUGGUUUGUAAUGGUAUUUAUAGUGGAAACCAUUAGAAUUUCUGUGAUGGUUUCUAUUGGGUAUUUUAUUUUAUUUAUUAUUUUCAUUUUUUCACAAGCCUAUCUUUAUUUAAUGUAAAUGAAUCACUGAGCACAGAACUGACUUCUCUCCUAUAUCUCUGCCAGUUCUCACUGAGCUUCACGUUUGAUCUCUUUGAAACAAUUUUAUUCAUUUUCAAUCAAUUUUCAAAUCUGAAGUCAGUGAGGAGCCACUUGUCAUUAACCCGUAGAUCCGAUCUUGUGCUACUUAACAACGCAAGCUCGUCUCUAUGGGUCCCUGUCUCUGUGGUAGACCAGCUUCUGGCUCGUGUCUUUCUAUAUACGUCUUAAAACAGUUCAUGUAUUUUCAUUUAUGGUGAGCCACACUAGUGUAAGCCAAAGACCACGAAACGGGAUAUAUUUACGUUUCACUCAGAUGUUUUUUUAGCUGCACGCAUUAAUCCUACAGUACAUGUGAUACAGAAACACACAACAGAACGUGAUCAUGAGUGAAGUGUGUGUAUCCGGGUUGAGGUAGUAGGUUGUAUGGUUUCGAAUGAUACCUUGGGAGUUAACUGUACAACCUUCUAGCUUUCCUUGGAGCUCACUAAAGUCAGCGAAGAAGACAGUGGAAAAACAAACGCUUGGUUGGAGUGUAAAUAUAUGCAGCAUUUUUCAUUUAUGGUUAUAAGUGUUUGUGCAAAUGUAAUAGUGUCCAAGUGUAGUUCGGUACUGUAUGAAUUUCUCCUGCUAUUCAGAUAUAGUGACGGUGAACGCUUGAGCUCCAAUUUCAGUGCUUCAUAACACUACAUUUUCAGAAACAGGAAAGAUUUCAGGACAGAGAACUUCACGCUGUUUAUAAUGUAAGUGGUAAGGGGUACUAACUUUUUUUUCACGGAUGUUCCAGGACGUUAAAUGUCAAUAUAAACAGAUUAAAAAAAAAAAAAAAAAAAAAAAAAAAAA